rnacentral:rRNA from 1 species
UACGAGGGGGGCAAAUGUUGUUCGGAAUCACUGGGCGUAAAGGGAGCGUAGGCGGGCUCUUAAGUUAGGUGUUUAAUCCCGGGGCCCAACCCCGGUCGUGCACUUAAAACUGGGAGUCUUGAAUAGUGGAGAGGUCAGUGGAAUUGGGGGUGUAGCGGUGGGAAUGCGUAGAGAUCCCCAAGAACACCAGUUGCGAAGGCGGCUGACUGGACACAUAUUGACGCUGAGGCUCGAAAGCAUGGGGAGCAAACAGG